GGCCAGCAGCCGCGGUAAUACCAGCACCCCGAGUGGUCGGGACGUUUAUUGGGCCUAAAGCAUCCGUAGCCGGUUCUACAAGUCUUCCGUUAAAUCCACCUGCUUAACAGAUGGGCUGCGGAAGAUACUAUAGAGCUAGGAGGCGGGAGAGGCAAGCGGUACUCGAUGGGUAGGGGUAAAAUCCGUUGAUCCAUUGAAGACCACCAGUGGCGAAGGCGGCUUGCCAGAACGCGCUCGACGGUGAGGGAUGAAAGCUGGGGGAGCAAACCGGAUUAGAUACCCGGGUAGUCCCAGCUGUAAACGAUGCAGACUCGGUGAUGAGUUGGCUUUUUGCUAACUCAGUGCCGCAGGGAAGCCGUUAAGUUUGCCGCCUGGGGAGUACGGUCGCAAGACUGAAACUUAAAGGAAUUGGCGGGGGAU
rnacentral:rRNA from 1 species